AGCAAGCCCUGAAAGUCCAGUCCCGGCUCAGGAAGUUCUGAUCUUCAGCAGGUACAGGAGGGUCUGCUCCGGAGACCGGCCGGGACAUCGGCAAGCCCCAAGGUCGGCACAACCGAAGAUACGCAAGCGCAGCGUUCGGAGCAAGAAGCACACAUCAAGGUGACAAAAGCCACCCAGGCGGGAAGCCGACCUUUGCAGACAAGCCUCAGUCCUCACUCUCCUACGGCUUCACACAGUUCCAGAGUCUUGGGGUCUCUGGCAGAAGUCAGAGGCUAAAAUUGUUUUAAGAUAAAUAA
rnacentral:lncRNA from 1 species